rnacentral:lncRNA from 1 species
CAACAAAUGUGCUGUAGAGCUAUUGCAGCUUCAUACUAUAAGGUCUGUCAUAUCUACUAAUUCUCAAGGCAAGGAUGGGUCAAGAAGCAAAAGCAAGAGGAGCUCCUGUGCAAGGCUAAGAUCUAAUCUUCCCGACACUUCUUGCUGAACACACUCACUGUCUUGGUUGGAACCCCUCAAAGAACUGAUCAUGUCCUUCCUCCCUCUCAGGGUCUCUGGUUUGAUCAAUGCAGACCUUCAUUUCCUGCAGGUCUG